UUUAAUUGCAGGUUGAUGGUGCAGAAUCUUAUUCAGUUGCAAUGAAAGACGUGGGAAUCAAUGUUUCAGUCGAGGAUCGUAAGAAAAUUAUUUUUGAGCAAUCUAAUGCAUUAGCAGAAAGUGUAAAUGGCCAAAUUCUUAUUCCAAAAGGUUUGCUUGAUGAGGUUGUAAAUCUUGUUGAGGCACCUUUUCCUGUGCUUGGAAAGUUUAAAGAAACCUUCUUAGAUCUUCCAAAAGAUCUUUUGACUAUGGU